AGAUGGGAUCUUAGCCAGGAGCAGUGGCCCACCCCUGUAAUCCCAGCACUUUGGGAGGCUGAGGAGGGCGGAUUGUUUGAGGCAGGAGUUCAAGACCAAUCUGGCCAACACGGCACAACUCUGUCUCAACUAAAACUUCAAAAAUUAGCCAGGGGCGCAGUGGCUCAUGCCUGUAACCCCAGACACUCGACAGACUGAGGCAUGAGAAUUGCUUGAACCAGGAGGCAGAGGUUGCAGUGAGCCGAGAUCACACCACGGCACUCCAGCCUGGGCAACAGACCAAGACUCUGUCAAAAAACAAAACAAAACAACAACCACAACAACAAAACAGUAAUAAAGAGAAAAACCUAAUGGACAGGAGCGAUGUCUCGUGCCUGUAAUCCCAGUUCUUUGGGAGGCCAAGAUGGGAGAAUUGCUUGAGGCCAGGAGUUCAAGACCAGCAUUGGCAACAUACAAACUGAAAGCUGCCUUAUACUGAAUGAGGAAGAGCACAAAUACUCGGCUGAAUGAGGUAUCGCAAAAGACUGCAUGCACUUUGGAGAAAGACUUAAGUUAUUGUCAUACAAUUUCCAUUCUUUUUAGCUUUUUCUUAAAUAUAUGACAAAUACCUACACAAA